AGAGUUUGAUCAUGGCUCAGAAUGAACGCUGGCGGCGUGCUUAACACAUGCAAGUCGAACGAUGAAGCCUAGCUUGCUAGGUGGAUUAGUGGCGCACGGGUGAGUAAUAUAUAGAUAACGUGCCUCUUAGUCUGGGAUAGCCAUUGGAAACGAUGAUUAAUACUGGAUACUCCUUCUCUUUAUAAUAAGAGUUGGGAAAGUUUUUCGCUAAGAGAUCGGUCUAUAUCCCAUCAGCUUAUUGGUAGUGUAAGAGACUACCAAGGCAAUGACGGGUAGCGGGUUUGAGAGGAUGAUCCGCCACACUGGUACUGAGACACGGACCAGACUCCUACGGGAGGCAGCAGUGAGGAAUAUUGCACAAUGGAGGAAACUCUGAUGCAGCAACGCCGCGUGGAGGAUGACGCAUUUCGGUGUGUAAACUCCUUUUAUAUGUCAAGAAAAUGACGGUAGCAUAUGAAUAAGCACCGGCUAACUCCGUGCCAGCAGCCGCGGUAAUACGGAGGGUGCAAGCGUUAUUCGGAAUCACUGGGCGUAAAGGACACGUAGGCGGGAAGCCAAGUCUGAUGUGAAAUCCUAUGGCUCAACCAUAGAACUGCAUUGGAAACUGGUUACCUAGAGUAUGGGAGGGGGAGAUGGAAUUAGUGGUGUAGGGGUAAAAUCCGUAGAUAUCACUAGGAAUACCUAAAG
rnacentral:rRNA from 1 species